UCCUCCCUCUGUCGGCGUGCUUAACACAUGCAAGUCGAGCGGAAAGGCCCUGCUUUUGUGGGGUGCUCGAGUGGCGAACGGGUGAGUAACACGUGAGUAACCUGCCCUUGACUUUGGGAUAACUUCAGGAAACUGGGGCUAAUACCGGAUAGGAGCUCCUGCUGCAUGGUGGGGGUUGGAAAGUUUCGGCGGUUGGGGAUGGACUCGCGGCUUAUCAGCUUGUUGGUGGGGUAGUGGCUUACCAAGGCUUUGACGGGUAGCCGGCCUGAGAGGGUGACCGGCCACAUUGGGACUGAGAUACGGCCCAGACUCCUACGGGAGGCAGCAGUGGGGAAUAUUGCACAAUGGGCGGAAGCCUGAUGCAGCAACGCCGCGUGCGGGAUGACGGCCUUCGGGUUGUAAACCGCUUUCGCCUGUGACGAAGCGUGAGUGACGGUAAUGGGUAAAGAAGCACCGGCUAACUACGUG
rnacentral:rRNA from 1 species